UAACAAGGAGAAGGAAAUGUCGAAGGCAGC
rnacentral:piRNA from 1 species